rfam:Myotis brandtii contig304528, whole genome shotgun sequence.
CUCGGGGGUAGGAUCCCUCAGCCCAGUUUGUGAGAGGGCGCAGGCCAGGCCGAGGGACCCCACUAGUGCAUG